AUUUGAAAUCUGGUACCUUCGGUGCCCGAGUUGUAAUUUGGAGAGGGCAACUUUGGGGCCGUUCCUUGUCUAUGUUCCUUGGAACAGGACGUCAUAGAGGGUGAGAAUCCCGUGUGGCGAGGAGUGCGGUUCUUUGUAAAGUGCCUUCGAAGAGUCGAGUUGUUUGGGAAUGCAGCUCUAAGUGGGUGGUAAAUUCCAUCUAAAGCUAAAUAUUGGCGAGAGACCGAUAGCGAACAAGUACAGUGAUGGAAAGAUGAAAAGAACUUUGAAAAGAGAGUGAAAAAGUACGUGAAAUUGUUGAAAGGGAAGGGCAUUUGAUCAGACAUGGUGUUUUGUGCCCUCUGCUCCUUGUGGGUAGGGGAAUCUCGCAUUUCACUGGGCCAGCAUCAGUUUUGGUGGCAGGAUAAAUCCAUAGGAAUGUAGCUUGCCUCGGUAAGUAUUAUAGCCUGUGGGAAUACUGCCAGCUGGGACUGAGGACUGCGACGUAAGUCAAGGAUGCUGGCAUAAUGGUUAUAUGCCGCCCGUCUU
rnacentral:rRNA from 1 species